GGUUAAGCGACUAAGCGUACACGGUGGAUGCCCUGGCAGUCAGAGGCGAUGAAGGACGUGCUAAUCUGCGAUAAGCGUCGGUGAGGUGAUAUGAACCGUUAUAACCGGCGAUUUCCGAAUGGGGAAACCCAGUGUGUUUCGACACACUAUCAUUAACUGAAUCCAUAGGUUAAUGAGGCGAACCGGGGGAACUGAAACAUCUAAGUACCCCGAGGAAAAGAAAUCAACCGAGAUUCCCCCAGUAGCGGCGAGCGAACGGGGAGGAGCCCAGAGCCUGAAUCAGUGUGUGUGUUAGUGGAAGCGUCUGGAAAGGCGCGCGAUACAGGGUGACAGCCCCGUACACAAAAAUGCACAUAUUGUGAGCUCGAUGAGUAGGGCGGGACACGUGGUAUCCUGUCUGAAUAUGGGGGGACCAUCCUCCAAGGCUAAAUACUCCUGACUGACCGAUAGUGAACCAGUACCGUGAGGGAAAGGCGAAAAGAACCCCGGCGAGGGGAGUGAAAAAGAACCUGAAACCGUGUACGUACAAGCAGUGGGAGCCUCUUAAUGGGGUGACUGCGUACCUUUUGUAUAAUGGGUCAGCGACUUAUAUUCUGUAGCAAGGUUAACCGAAUAGGGGAGCCGAAGGGAAACCGAGUCUUAACUGGG
rnacentral:rRNA from 1 species